GUGAUGACACAGCCAUCACCAUUAGUCUUUCCACUCUGAAGUAUUCCUACCUAGCACCAACUGGCCCUGUUUACCUGAGUGCUCUCUCUUCAUAAACCUGAGGAAAGCAGGGCAGUAACUUCUAGAAACAGCUAUUAUCCGAGAACUACAGAGAGCAGACAAUUGAGCCAAGAUGCUCCAAGAUACAAGAAACGGAGGCGACAUCUGUUUUUGCUGCCUUUCGCUGUAUUUAUCCUUAAUCCUGGGACAUAGCCAAGCUGUGCCUAAUACUGAGCCUGAUCUCUCAACAAACCAUUUCAUACAGAA